AGGGUGUAAACGCUGCAGACUUGGUGUUGGAAGCCCUUUGGGGGCAUUCAGUGCCGGAGAGAAGUUGUUAAGUCUGCUACUUGGGGAGUACGUCCGCAAGGAUGAAACUUAAAGGAAUUGGCGGGGGAGCACCGCAACGGGAGGAGCGUGCGGUUUAAUUGGAUUCAACACCGUAAAACUCACCAGGGAAGACUGUUACAUGAAAGCCGAGAUGAAGACUCUGCUAGAUUUUUCAGAGAGGAGGUGCAUGGCGUCAGUGACU
rnacentral:rRNA from 1 species